rnacentral:lncRNA from 1 species
GAUUCUCUUUCUCUUGUUAUUAUGUUAGAAAACUUCCACUACUUGUUUGUUUUUUAUAAUAAGAUGUUUUUGAAAGCUGAAAAGGGAAAUACAUAUGAGUUGAAUUUCACCGACAGACAUAACACACUUUGAGUUGAUGAGAAUAAGGAAAGAAAAAAAAUGUUCUUUCAUGUCUGUUUCUCAGAAUUUAAAUCUGUCCUUGUCUGAAAUCUGUUCAAUCUCAAGUGCUUAAAAGCUCUCAUCCUUUAUUCUUCUAAGAUGCAAAUUCCCAAUUAUAUAAUUGACAAAUCUACCAUUAAAUUGCAUUAUAUAAGUUAUUUUGACUUAGAUCCAAUUCCUUGUGCUCCAACAUGGAUAUAUCAAAUUAUUUGAAUCAUCUUUUGGGGGGGACAAGACAUGGUAUAAUAUAUUAUGAUGUAAUUUAAUGCAUUCUUUCUCUUUAUGGGACCCAAAAUGAAGCUUUUUUAUGAUGGCUCGUAUUUUUCAUUUUCACAUUAUCAGAGUAUGAAAUAAAGUUGUAACCAAAAAAAAAGGAGUAUGAAAUAAGCGCAAUCUUUAUGGUCAUUUAUUAUAAGAUAAUUGACGCAUGUGUCAUGGUUAACAGGAGGAGUUGCUUCCAUGGAUGACUUUCUUCAGAAUUUCUUCCCCGCAGUGUACAAACAUAAAUUGCGAGCACAUGAAAACAAUUAUUGCAAGUAUAACAAUCAGGGGAUUUCUGCAUUUACCUCUACUUUAUACAUUUCUGGUUUCAUUGCAUCCAUAGUAGCAGCUCCAAUUACAAGAAGGUAUGGACGAAGGACAAGUAUCAUAAUUGGUGGUAUCAACUUUCUUGUCGGAUCAGCUCUAAAUGCUGCAGCUGUUGAUCUGGAAAUGCUUAUCAUAGGAAGGGUUUUGCAAGGUGUUGGCAUUGGAUUUGGAAAUCAGGUAGUAGCAUUUUCCUACAUUAAUCUUUUAUCCAUUCUUAACUGAAUGCAAAAUAUUUUUGAUAUAAAACAUUGGUUUAUUUAUAUUAGAAGAACAACCGAGAAACCAUACCAUGUUCAAAACCAAAGUCUAAAGUCUAGAUAACCAUAGUAUCAAAUGUUAGCUUUAAAAAGUGACAGCGAACAUUAAUUAUAUGAAUGUUAAUGUAGAGUGUCAAAUUUUACAGGAAAAAAAAGGUAGUAAUGUGAUGGAAACAAUCAGGGGUACAAUAAAGUAUGUUUAAGUUAGAAGAUAAUUCAAUUAUACUAUACCUUUUUGAAGGCUAUUCCGCUCUAUUUGUCAGAGAUGGCGCCAACCCACUUUCGAGGAGCCCUGAACAUGAUGUUUCAAGUUGCAACCACUUUUGGGAUUUUUACAGCAAAUAUGAUCAAUUACGGAACACAGCAGAUUCAACCAUGGGGGUGGAGGUUGGCCCUUGGACUUGCUUCAAUACCAACUCUUUUGAUGACUGUCGGAGGAAUAUUUAUUCCAGAGACUCCAAAUAGCUUAGUAGAAAGAGGAUCAAAGGAACAGGGGAGGAAGCUCCUUGAAAAAAUCAGAGGAACAGAUGAGGUCGACGCGGAGUUCCAAGAUAUGCUUGAUGCGGGUGAAUUGGCAAACUCAAUAAAGCACCCCUAUUAUAACAUCCUUGAAAGAAGAUACAGACCAGAGUUGGUCAUGGCUAUCUGCAUGCCUGCAUUCCAGAUUCUGACCGGUAUAAACUCAAUUCUCUUUUAUGCUCCAAUGCUAUUUCAAAGCAUGGGAUUUGGCAGACAAGCAUCGCUUUACUCCUCAGCCUUGACUGGAGUAGUUCUUGCCUUAUCAACAUUCAUUUCUAUUGCAACAGUAGAUAGAUUGGGGCGACGGCCCUUACUCAUCAGUGGUGGAAUACAAAUGAUUAUAUGCCAGGUAUGGAAAACUCAUGAUUUAGUGCAAAUUCCAAUUAUGCUCACAAGAACCGUAACUUUUUGACAUAAUGCUAGAAGCUGAAUAAUUGCACCAUUCAUUUAGAAGUGAAUACGCAAAUCGUUCCUCGAGAUUGUAAGCAUCGAUCAAAAUACCAUACUUUUGCAAAUUGACAAAUACAUCCUAAAAUUGUUAAAUGUCGGUCAAAUUUGUCAAUAGCGGUAAAAAUAUACAUCCUAUGUAAAAAAAAAAUCCCGCUAGAGACUAUGAUGUGACACGUUAAAUGAAUAUGUGCUUCCUCCACGUUGAUCCUACGUCAAUGCCACCAUAUCAUGGAGUAAUUUGCCUGUAGAAAUUAGGUAUCUCAGAGACUAAUUUGUUAGUACUUAGUUCAUUCACACUUGUAAAUAUCGACAAAUUUAUCCGAGAUGAUUUAAAUUUCAUAGGCAAAUUUGUCCCUAGUAAGUUACAUUGGUGUAGGAUCAAGUGCAAUGUGACAUGUUUGGUUAACGUGUAAUGAUAGAUAUUAACGGAGAAGCCGUUUUGAUUAUCAUUUUACAAUUUUGGGGAUCUAUUUUCCUAUUCGCAAAAUUGAGGGACUAUUUAACUGAUGCUUACAAUUUCAAAUACCAAUUUGCCUAUUCACUCGAUCGUUUGGAGUAUCAGAUAAAACUUGCAAAUGACAUGACUCUCGCAUAGCAGAGACCAUUUGUAUUUGCAAAGCAUUGAUUAUACUCUCGCAUUUUUCACAUGAACAGGUUAUAGUUGCCAUAAUUUUGGGUGUCAAGCUUGGACCAAACCAAGAAUUGUCAAAAAACUAUUCAAUAUCGGUUGUAGUUGUACUUUCUCUAUUUGUUCUAGCUUUUGGAUGGUCAUGGGGGCCACUUGGAUGGACAGUCCCAAGUGAGAUAUUUCCAUUAGAAAUCCGAUCGGCAGGGCAAAGUAUCACAGUUGCAGUAAACCUUCUGUUCACUUUCAUUAUCGCACAGGCUUUCUUGUCCCUUCUAUGUUCAUUCAAGUAUGGGAUCUUUCUGUUUUUCGCUGGCUGGAUAGCCGUCAUGACCAUCUUUGUUGUUUUGUUCCUACCUGAGACCAAGGGAAUACCCAUUGAGGAGAUGUCAUUUAUUUGGAGGAAACACUGGUUCUGGAAAAGGAUACUGCCGGAUGAUGCAGAUCGACUAUCCCAGGAUUCUGGAACUGAAUUAAUUAACUUAGGUGCACAUGAACAUGGAGUAUAGAACUGAUAAGUUUAUCCAAAUCAAUAGAGUUUACCUUUCCUUUGCUGUAAUUAAGAAAUUACACGACUAUAAAGCUAAUCGAAAAGAACAGUCUAGCUUUUGUUGUAUUUGUGGAAAAUGAUAGUUAUAUUUGAUUGAUUGUUCAUCCAGUAAUCACAAACAUAACAAAAAUACUGAUUGAUUGUUUCAAUGAGAGAUGUUGGUAACUAUUUAACAAUCCUAUCAUUGAAUAAAUUUCAUAUAAAAACUUGAAUUUGUUCCCUCUUUAGGAACAACCCAAAUAGAAUGUCUGAAAUGGAGUCAAAAGAAUGUAUUACCUUCUUAUGCACACCGAAUUGGUGGGGUUGCAUGGUCAAAGGUCACAGUUUGUGGACUUCAACAACCAAUUUGGUUUCCCAUGCUCCUAGCCUUUGUACUGCAAAAUCGUUGUCCUGUAAAGAAUUGUUUAGUUAGCGUACUACAAAGCUCUCACUAUGUCAGUGUACUUGCGGUGACUCCAUUGAAAAUGCAAUAGAAGACCAAUUUUCCCUGGAACUUCUCAAGGAUUUCCUAUUGUGUUCAGAUUAAUAACUGUCAACAGAAUCCAAUUCCCAGGCAGAGAUCAUGUGAAGGAAAUCAAACAAGAAUUAAAUUCAAUAUAGUGUUCUUGCUCCUCCGUUAAUUGCAAUUUUAAAAUGCCAGCUUUGCGAAAUAAAAACUCAAUACAACAUAAAUGAUGUCGAGGAUAUUAUUCCAAAAAUAACGAACAGCCAAACUCACGCAUAUCACCCUAUAGAAACAAUAAUGUAUUGUGUUGUAUGUCCGGAAAUUGGUGCUUUGACAGCCCUGGAAAGAAACAAGCAGCUUGGCAAGCAUUACAACUUCAUAUGACAAUUUGUGACAUUUAUCGAUCAUUUGGUACACAUCACAUAGACGGUGAGUGAAUGUCAUCCAAUUCAGGGCAUGAAAUCACUUAAUCAUGAAUUUGCCUCAGACAUACCCACAACAUCAAUUAAAUUAAAUUUACACCAUUGAACCACAUUAGUGUGUAUUAUUCUGAAUUGGACUCAACAAGAUCGUCCCAACAUCAGCACAUCACCAUUCUCCCCAAACCAAUUCCUCCAUUAUGUUGACUGUGGUUCAGUGGAAGUAUUACAAUACCUCUCCAUGCUCCCAAUAAUUCUCAUACAGACUUGAACGUCACAAUGCCCAUGCAAGUAGUACUUUCACCACUUUCAGCGACGAAGUGGCAACGAUUGCUCCACAAGGCAACUUCUUGGCCUACUUUGGACCAGUAAUUAUAUCAAUCAAGUUGAGAAUAAACAAGUUUUUCAAUCAAAUAUUUGAAUUCACAACACACAGGUCCUUCAGAACAGAGUAACGACGCUGAAUAUUCAAAUCAACAAAAGAAGGAAAAUAUGUAACACUAAAAACUUUCUAUUACCAUUGAAUUUCACCAAUCAACUACAUCAAUACGAAAACAAAGACAGAAUUACAACCAAUGACCUGAAAAAACAAACUUUAUUCUUACAUACAUGAAAAUCAAUCUUCCACAUAUGAAAAUCAAACACCUGGACUGGACUUGACAAACAAAAAUUCUAAAUUCAAACACCCUAUAGUCUAUAUUCACGUCUAUCAGACUAAGGAAAUUACAAUUUCUUUAAUCCCUUUUGUCAUCAACAUAUGAACUAACUAUAACCACAAAACCUAACUGUAACUAGUCCUCUAUUAGGAACUAAACACUGAACUGAAAAUUAAACCUUCAUCUUCACUACUAUCCUUGCUUCAAUUUCAACGCUUCUUCAAAUUUCUUCAUACGUUCGCACCCCACGUACAAUCCUCUUGAAAAAAUAAAGGAAGCACGCUAGGGACAACACGAACAAAAAAAAAACAACGAUCCAUCAUCAUCAUCUACUUCAGCAGAAAGUAAACAAACACCAAAGAAAGAAAUAAAGUAGAAACUAAUUAUUCCAAAUCAAGUCGAAGUAACCGCCUCAAAUCACUUGUUGCAACACCGUUCUUCCCUAGAAAUCCUGGAACCGGAACGGAACUCGGUGGUGGAGAUGAAACAAACCCCGAUCCAGCGUAAAUCACGUC